rnacentral:rRNA from 1 species
UACAGGGGGGGCAAGCGUUGUUCGGAAUUACUGGGCGUAAAGGGCUCGUAGGUGGCCAACUAAGUCAUACGUGAAAUCCCUCGGCUUAACCGGGGAACUGCGUCUGAUACUGGAUGGCUUGGAUUCGGGAGAGGAAUGCGGAAUUCCAGGUGUAGCGGUGAAAUGCGUAGAUAUCUGGAGGAACACCCGUGGCGAAAGCGGCUCUCUGGAACGGUACUGACGCUGAGACGCGAAAGCGUGGGGAGCGAACAGG